rnacentral:rRNA from 1 species
GAUGAACGCUGGCGGCGUGCCUAAUACAUGCAAGUCGAGCGAACAGAUGAGGAGCUUGCUCCUCUGACGUUAGCGGCGGACGGGUGAGUAACACGUGGAUAACCUACCUAUAAGACUGGGAUAACUUCGGGAAACCGGAGCUAAUACCGGAUAAUAUAUUGAACCGCAUGGUUCAAUAGUGAAAGACGGUUUUGCUGUCACUUAUAGAUGGAUCCGCACCGCAUUAGCUAGUUGGUAAGGUAACGGCUUACCAAGGCGACGAUGCGUAGCCGACCUGAGAGGGUGAUCGGCCACACUGGAACUGAGACACGGUCCAGACUCCUACGGGAGGCAGCAGUAGGGAAUCUUCCGCAAUGGGCGAAAGCCUGACGGAGCAACGCCGCGUGAGUGAUGAAGGUCUUCGGAUCGUAAAACUCUGUUAUUAGGGAAGAACAAAUGUGUAAGUAACUAUGCACGUCUUGACGGUACCUAAUCAGAAAGCCACGGCUAACUACGUG